UACAGAGGGGGCAAGCGUUGUUCGGAAUUACUGGGCGUAAAGGGCUCGUAGGCGGCCAACUAAGUCAGACGUGAAAUCCCUCGGCUUAACCGGGGAACUGCGUCUGAUACUGGAUGGCUUGAGUUUGGGAGAGGGAUGCGGAAUUCCAGGUGUAGCGGUGAAAUGCGUAGAUAUCUGGAGGAACACCGGUGGCGAAGGCGGCAUCCUGGACCAACACUGACGCUGAGGAGCGAAAGUGUGGGGAGCGAACAGG
rnacentral:rRNA from 1 species